CAAGGGCAUAUUAUCAGGCGGGGUCGAGAUCGGCAUUGUCUCCACUGUCAUAUCGUCGAGCAAAGACUGGUCCAGGAGCGCAGAAACAUGCUUCAAGAAAAAGGUUUAUGGCUAGCAACAUCUUGUUCGAUUACUUCGUGUGAUGUUUUAAUCCAUAAAAUACAGAUAGGGGUUACACUGUUCAGUUUGGUUACUUCGAUUUUGGGACUGCUUGUGGUCUUCUGUAGUGUUUAUUCUUGUUCGAUUACUUCGAUUCUAGGACUGUGAUUUUAGUUCGAUUACUUCGAUUCUGGGACUACCAAAAUACAGAUAGGGGUUACACUGUUUACUUUGAUUCUAGGACUGCCAAAUGUCUCUACUGUUUGAAGGCGGUGUUUAUUCUUGUUUAUUAUUUACCAGAUGUCUCUGUAUGCUUGAUUAUGCAAGUAGAUUAUUCAGGUAGUACAUACGUUUUUUAGUUGUAUUUAUUCUUGUUUCUAUUAGGUGCUUCAUUCAAGUUUGCAACUUUCCAAUGUCUCUGUGUGCUUGAUAGCAGAUUAUCCUAUAUUCUUGCGCAAGAAUCUUUUUGGACGCACAAGUAGUUCUAUAGAGUUUACUACAUCCUUUGAUGUUUUAAUCCAUGAAAUACAGACCUGUAUCUAUUUGUUUUGGACUGCGUUCCGGAGAAAGAAAUGCAGUUUGGUUAUGUGGUUUUACAGACCUGUAUCUAUUUGUGUAAUGCAUUUGCCUGUAUAUGUGCAGCUUAUGUCCAUAAUUCUUCAAGUCUGCAUAUGACUGCAUCAUUCUUCAGCCUUCUAGACUCCUUCCACUUCUGCCCCCUCGGAUACAAGGACUUCCCAGACUUAGGUAACACAACCUCUUCUCUUCUUUCAACAUGUUGUCAUGUGGUGCUUGAGUUAUGGUACAACUAGAGUUGGGUGAAAGCGACAUGGAGCCUUGAAGUGGAGAGUUGAGCUCAUGAAGCAGGACAAGAGAGCCAAGGUGUUGUGCCUUCAUGGCUUCUGCACGAGCGAGAGUUUUUUGAAGAGUAGAUCAACAACUGGCACUCUUCCACUCGUUAUGGAUAUGGGUAUGAGAAUCCAAUCUUAUGAUGACCAGUUACUUCAUUUAGCUGCUGACAUAGCUCAGAGGUUGUUGCCCGCAUUUGACACUCCUACAGGAAUUGUCACUUGGCGAUACACAUGGAAUUACAAACACACAACUGCAUUUGAUGCUUUACUAUAAUAAAAACAUAAAUAUAACAAACACAUUGUUU